ACCAUAUCUGUGGAAUGUACCCACUUUUUGGUUUUCCACCAAUGUGGGUGAAACCCCCUGGUGUUAUAUUCCCCCCUUUGGUGGAAAAUACCCACCAUCAAUGUGUAAUAAUUACACUCAUAAUAAUAAUGUAAUAAUUAAUCUAGUAAUGCCACGCCCACUGCGCAUGCGCAGUUCAGUUCCAAAUUAAUCCAGCUGCAAAUGGCUUCCUUCUCUUUGUCCUCCAUUACUGCCAGUCUACAUGUGUCUAUUUUUUGGCCGUUUAGCUCUUAGUUUUGCCUCUGUAUUCUUUGAAAUCCCCAGAAAAUUAUCUCAUUUUCGAAGCCCGCUUCCAUGUCAGCAGCUAUUUCUGUGACUCUUCCUUCAGGCUGUCCCCUUAGGCUAUGAUUUGUGUCUAGACUGAUUGAACUACCAAUAGCUGUGUUCAAAAUGGAUCGCGUCCAUACAAGACUGGCUUAUUGAUUUUGUUUUGAUGUGUAUAGGUUUUAGCUUCUUUUCAAGUGAAUUG